rnacentral:misc_RNA from 1 species
GACAGUCCAUGAGCAAUGGGAGGUAGGAAAUUGCCUCCACUUUUUUUUUUAGUGGUGCUAGUCGGUGAUUGAGAAGAGGACAGCUUGUAUUAGCACAGCCUGUGCUAUUGGAAUACGGACCACUGUUUGAGAGAGGCAAUAUCGGUAUACUUUGCCUGCGAUACAGAAAACCCUGCAGCACCUACGUGUUGAUGACAUACUCUGGAAUGCUUCACGCUCCUGUUCUGACAACAUUCUUUUUUUUUUCUUGUGUAUUGACUGACGAGCUGCACAUUGUUUUCGAAAUACAGCAGGGUUUAAGAUUUGCAAACUUUGGCGAAGGCUAGUCCAGGCAUUUGUUUUAGAAUUGGGGCUGCGCAAGUAAAUCACUGAAGCUGCCGAACGAGUUACAGCAUCUUACUUUCACACGCUUCUUUUCUCCCAAGAUAUUCUCUUUUUGCCCAUAUCGGCUUUUUCGACUGAAAACCUUGCUUUUGCCGGUGGUACUCGAAUACUUUUGCUACCAUGCCAUGAGAGCUUAUGUACCGCGUACAAAUGCCAAUAUGGAGCUGUCACGCCAGCUAACAGGGGCAUCUGAAAAUGACAGUCUUCUUUUUUUUGUGGUUGACGCGGUUGGGACUGACCCAGCACGAGGUGGAGCCCAUCGAAAGGCAUCAGGCUCUCUGCCGGCAAGCGCUUGGUAAAGUCAGGGCGUUGCAUGUGUUGACCUCAACAGGCUUCAUUUUCAACAGGGAUCAUCGGCAUAGCAUAUGCAACAAACACAAAUCGACUCAUAUCCCAUGCGCUCCGGCAGCGGAGAUAGUGCCACCUCCACUAGUAGAAUCGAUUCUGAGGAUUUGUGCCAAGCAUUCUGUGCCUAUAACCCCCUGUGGCGAAUGCACGGUGUUCGAAAGGGCCUGCAUCUUGAACUGUGGCGCUAUCGCCAUCGACACAGCAAAUAUCAAGCGUCUCCGUGUAACCAUCGAUGUUGGGUGUUUAUGGACUGGUGCUGGUGUCAGUAAAAUCGAACUCAACAAAGCUAUUGCCAAGUACGGCUUUGCGUUCGACCCUGAUCCGUUCUCCAACCCUUGAGUGGGUGUUAUGGCAUCCCCACCUCCGGGGACGGUACGAGCACGCUCACCUACGGAAUUACCGGCGAGAAGGUGAUAUCGCUGCUCGUGUUGACCGCGCAAGAGAAUUUCUUUCAGAAGAACCAGGUGGUGCUCAAGUCAUCUGCGGGCCAUGAACGAACUCAGCUGCACCUCAACAGCGAGGGCAAGCUUGGCAUCGCUUUCGCGGCAUGUCUUUGUCCCUUUUCCACAACUGAAUACAAUGCUGGCUAUGCCGCCACAUUUGAGUUAGCUGAAGAUGAUGCAAAAGCGGCGGCGACACUAAAGCAUGCUGUCGUCCCCGACAUCCUUCUCUGCGGCGAGUCGCUGAAUAAACGGUGCUGUUUUUUUGUGCGCACAACUACUUCAAG